rnacentral:ncRNA from 1 species
AUAUUUGCAACUAGUUAUGGUGGUGAAUUUGUCAUCCGGCAAAUUUACUGAAAAGGGAAUCAGGUGAAAGUCCUGAACAGACCCGCUGCUGUAAUCUCUAUACAAGUCCCCGGACACUACUUAAUUCCACUGUUUACCAAAACAUGAAACGGGAAGGACGUCCGAAGGAUAGAGAAAAGUCAGAAGACCUGCCAUAUAAAUAGAAGUACA